rnacentral:rRNA from 1 species
AAAAAUUGAAGAGUUUGAUCAUGGCUCAGAUUGAACGCUGGCGGUAAGCUUAACACAUGCAAGUCGAGCGGCAAACGGGAAGUAUGCAUUUUCAUUUUUAAAUGAAGAUGUGUGUUUUGUCUGGCAAGCGGCGAACGGGUGAGUAAAAUCUGGGGAUCUACCCGAAGGAGGGGGAUAACUGUUGGAAACGACAGCUAAUACCGCAUAAAGUCGAUGAGACCAAAGUAGGGGACUUUUUUUGAUUGUUUUUUUCAAUCAAUAUGGGAAGAAAGUAGUUAAAAUUGGCCUUACACCGUCGGAUGAACCCAGACAGGAUUAGCUAGUAGGUAAGGUAAUGGCUUACCUAGGCGACGAUCCUUAGUUGGUUUGAGAGAACGACCAGCCACACUGGAACUGAGAUACGGUCCAGACUCCUACGGGAGGCAGCAGUGGGGAAUAUUGCACAAUGGGGGAAACCUUGAUGCAGCUAUACCGUGUGUGUGAAGAAGGCCUUAGGGUUGUAAAGCACUUUCAAUAGGGAAGAAUUUAGUUUUGCUAAUAUCAAAAUUAGUUGACGUUACCUAUAGAAGAAGCACCGGCUAACUCCGUGCCAGCAGCCGCGGUAAUACGGAGGGUGCAAGCGUUAAUCGGAAUUACUGGGCGUAAAGAGUACGUAGGUGGUUUAUUAAGUCAGAUGUGAAAUCCCUGAGCUUAACUUAGGAACUGCAUUUGAAACUGAUAGGCUAGAGUUUCGUAGAGGGGGGUAGAAUUCCAGGUGUAGCGGUGAAAUGCGUAGAGAUCUGGAGGAAUACCAGUGGCGAAGGCGACCCCCUGGGCGAAAACUGACACUCAGGUACGAAAGCAUGGGGAGCAAACAGGAUUAGAUACCCUGGUAGUCCAUGCUGUAAACGAUGUCGAUUUGAAGGUUGUGACUAUAAGUUGUGGCUUUCGGAGCUAACGCGUUAAAUCGACCGCCUGGGGAGUACGACCGCAAGGUUAAAACUCAAAUGAAUUGACGGGGGCCCGCACAAGCGGUGGAGCAUGUGGUUUAAUUCGAUGCAACACGAAGAACCUUACCUACUCUUGACAUCCAAAGAACUACAUAGAGAUAUGUGGGUGCCUUCGGGAACUUUGAGACAGGUGCUGCAUGGCUGUCGUCAGCUCGUGUUGUGAAAUGUUGGGUUAAGUCCCGCAACGAGCGCAACCCUUAUCCUUUGUUGCCAACGAGUAAAGUCGGGAACUCAAAGGAGACUGCCGGUGAUAAACCGGAGGAAGGUGAGGAUGACGUCAAGUCAUCAUGGCCCUUAUGAGUAGGGCUACAAACGUGCUACAAUGGCGUAUACAAAGAGAAGCGAUCUUGUGAAAGUUAGCAAACCUCAUAAAGUACGUCUUAGUCCGGAUUGGAGUCUGCAACUCGACUCCAUGAAGUCGGAAUCGCUAGUAAUCGUGGAUCAGAAUGUCACGGUGAAUACGUUCCCGGGCCUUGUACACACCGCCCGUCACACCAUGGAAGUGGGUUGCAAAAGAAGUAAGUUGUUUAACCCUGCUGUAAUAAAGGGAGGGCGCUUACCACUUUGUGAUUCAUGACUGGGGUGAAGUCGUAACAAGGUAACCGUAGGGGAACCUGCGGUUGGAUCACCUCCUUACU